GUGAGUCAUCGAGUCUUUGAACGCACCUUGCGCUCUCUGGUAUUCCGGAGAGCAUGCCUGUUUGAGUGUCAUGAAUCUCUCAACUCCUAAAGUUUGUAAUGAAUGAUAGGGGCUUGGACUUGGAGGCUUGCCGGCGUCUGUCGGCUCCUCUUAAAUGCAUUAGCUAUGGAUCACAAUGUGUACGAUCUACGGUGUGAUAUAUGUCUACGCCUAUGGAUCUAUGCGAGAGUUACCGCCCGCGAGGGUCAUGGUCUUCGGAUCUGUGUGACGACGUGAAUACAAAGCUUCUAAUCAUCCUCUCGGGGAUAAAUCUAUUCUGACAUCUGACCUCAAAUCAGGUAGGACUACCCGCUGAACUUAA
rnacentral:rRNA from 1 species